AUUCUAUUAGUAUAUAGGUAUAUUUAACUUCCAAUUAAAAGGAUUAAUUUUUAAAUAGAAUA
rnacentral:tRNA from 2 species